rnacentral:rRNA from 1 species
AAGUCGUAACAAGGUCUCCGUUGGUGAACCAGCGGAGGGAUCAUUAGAGAGUGCCCUACUCCCAAAACCCAUGUGAACUUACCUGUACGUUGCCUCGGCGGGGGAGGGGUUGGCCACCCCCCCUCCGCCAGGCGGCCCACCAAACCCUGUUUAGCCCUGAAUCUCUGAGACGAUAAAACAAUGAGUUAAAACUUUCAACAACGGAUCUCUUGGCUCUGGCAUCGAUGAAGAACGCAGCGAAAUGCGAUACGUAGUGUGAAUUGCAGAAUUUAGUGAAUCAUCGAAUCUUUGAACGCACAUUGCGCCCGCCAGUAUUCUGGCGGGCAUGCCUGUUCGAGCGUCAUUUCAACCCCUUAAGCCCUUGUCGCUUAGUGUUGGGAGCCGACGGCGUCCUGCCGUCGCUCCUCAAAUCCAGUGGCGGAGCCGGUUUCGCGCUCUGGGCGUAGUAGAUUUUCUCCAUCUCGCCUGCAGCCGGGGCCGGCCUCCCUGCCGUAAAACCACCACCAAUGUACCCAAAGGUUGACCUCGAAUCAGGUAGGAAUACCCGCUGAACUUAAGCAUAUCAAUAAGCGGAGGAAAAGAAACCAACAGGGAUUGCCCCAGUAACGGCGAGUGAAGCGGCAACAGCUCAAAUUUGAAAUCUGGCCCUCGGGUCCGAGUUGUAAUUUGUAGAGGAUGCUUUUGGCGCGGUGCCUUCCGAGUUCCCUGGAACGGGACGCCUUAGAGGGUGAGAGCCCCGUACGGUUGGACACCAAGCCUCUGUAAAGCGCCUUCGACGAGUCGAGUAGUUUGGGAAUGCUGCUCUAAAUGGGAGGUAAAUUUCUUCUAAAGCUAAAUAUUGGCCAGAGACCGAUAGCGCACAAGUAGAGUGAUCGAAAGAUGAAAAGCACUUUGAAAAGAGGGUUAAACAGCACGUGAAAUUGUUGAAAGGGAAGCGUUUGCGACCAGACCUCUCCCCGGCGGAUCAUCCGGCGUUCUCGCCGGUGCACUUCGCCGGGCUGAGGCCAGCAUCGGUUUCCGCGGGGGGACAAAAGCGGGGGGAACGUAGCUCCCUCGGGAGUGUUAUAGCCCCCCGCAUAAUACCCUCGCGGGGACCGAGGACCGCGCUUCGGCAAGGAUGCUGGCGUAAUGGUCGUCAACGACC